rnacentral:rRNA from 1 species
ACGCAGCCGCGGUAAUUCCAGCUCCAAUAGCGUAUAUUAAAGUUGUUGCAGUUAAAAAGCUCGUAGUUGAAUUUCGGGGUCAGUAGGUUGGUCGUGCCACUGGUAUGUACUGGUCUCACUGAUUCCUCCUUCCUGAUGAGCCGUAAUGCCAUUAAUUUGGUGUUGCGGGGAAUCUUGGACUGUUACUUUGAAAAAUUAGAGUGUUUAAAGCAGGCUAACGCUUGAAUACAUUAGCAUGGAAUAAUGGAAUAGGACGUUCGAUCCUAUUUUGUUGGUUUCUAGGAUUGACGUAAUGAUUAAUAGGGAUAGUUGGGGGCAUUAGUAUUCAAUUGUCAGAGGUGAAAUUCUUGGAUUUAUUGAAGACUAACUACUGCGAAAGCAUUUGCCAAGGAUGUUUUCAUUAAUCAAGAACGAAAGUUAGGGGAUCGAAGACGAUCAGAUACCGUCGUAGUCUUAACCAUAAACUAUGCCGACUAGGGAUCGGAUGAUGUUAAUUUUUAAUGACUCAUUCGGCGCCUUA